GGCUCAGGAUGAACGCUGGCGGCGUGCCUAAUACAUGCAAGUCGAACGGAGAUUUUAGCAAUAAGAUCUUAGUGGCGAACGGGUGAGUAACGCGUUGGUGACCUGCCUCAAAGUGUGGGAUAACAGUUCGAAAGGAUUGCUAAUACCGCAUGUGAUCUCUGGGAUUAGAUGCCCGGUUAUUAAAGCCGAAAGGCGCUUUGAGAGGGACCUGCGUCCCAUCAGCUAGUUGGUAGGGUAACGGCCUACCAAGGCGAUGACGGGUAGGGGACCUGAGAGGGUGGACCCCCACAAUGGAACUGAAACACGGUCCAUACACCUACGGGUGGCAGCAGUAGGGAAUAUUGCAUAAUGGGCGAAAGCCUGAUGCAGCAACGCCGCGUGUGCGAUGAAGGCCUUCGGGUCGUAAAGCACUUUUAGAGAGGAUGAGGAAGGACAGUACUCUCUGAAUAAGCCUCGGCUAACUACGUGCCAGCAGCCGCGGUAAAACGUAGGAGGCGAGCGUUAUCCGGAUUUACUGGGCGUAAAGCGCGUGCAGGUGGUUCGGUAAGUUGGAUGUGAAAGCUCCUGGCUUAACUGGGAGAGGUCGUUCAAUACUACCGGGCUUGAGUAUGGAAGAGGGAAGUGGAAUUCCGGGUGUAGUGGUGAAAUGCGCAGAUAUCCGGAGGAACACCAGUGGCGAAAGCGGCUUCCUGGUCCAUUACUGACACUCAGACGCGAAAGCUAGGGGAGCGAACGGGAUUAGAGACCCCGGUAGUCCUAGCUGUAAACGAUGCGGACUUGGCGUCGGUGGGUUCAAAUCCAUCGGUGCCGAAGCUAACGCGAUAAGUCCGCCGCCUGGGGA
rnacentral:rRNA from 1 species